UUGGUAUUCUGUUCUCAUUUUCCAAAUUCCAACAGAAUUUUAAUGGUCAUCUCAAUUCAAAUGAAAGAACAAUGAGCUGAAAUCACAAUCAUAACAAUAGAUGCCACAGUACUGCAGAACACAUUGGUCUUAAUAAUUUCUGGAUCUUUAUAUUCAUUUCUUGUAAUGAUUGGGGGCAUCCGCAAAUGCAAACUUCAGUCUGUAGGCCUCUGCUAGGAGAACACUGACUUCUUCAUUUCCCCAGUGUGCUGUGGGCAAAUUCUGUAAAAAUAUCAGCAAUUCCUGAAAGUCCUUCUCCUCCAGAAUCUCCUUCCGCCACCUGACAAGGAAUGCGGCACAGACGUACAAGUGGAAGUGAGAAAAACCCUCUGGUUCAGAUUGGUAUGUGUCCCAUAAUCUGAUGGUACACCGUAAAGGGACUUCUCUCAUCAGUAAGUUAUUCAUCCAUCGGAAAGCAAAUUGCAAAUAUUUCACCUCAUGCUGAUCCAAGUGUCUGUGAACUUGUUCAUCAAUCCGACUAACAAGCUCUUCCAACAUUUUCACUUUCUUUUGAAUUCCUGGCUGUGCAAAUGUGUAAUUAUCCUAAAGAAGAGAGCAUAUAUAAAUAUAAGUUUAUGGAAAAC
rnacentral:lncRNA from 1 species